UCAGCGACUGGGGUGAAGUCGUAACAAGGUAGCCGUAGGGGAACCUGCGGCUGGAUCACCUCCUUU
rnacentral:ncRNA from 2 species